AAGCAGUUAGGCUGGGAAAUAGGCAAAUCCGUUUCCCGUAAGGCUGAGCUGUGAUGGCGAGCGAAAUAUAGUAGCGAAGUUCCUGAUUCCACACUGCCAAGAAAAGCCUCUAGCGAGGUGAGAGGUGCCCGUACCGCAAACCGACACAGGUAGGAAAGGAGAGUAUCCUAAGGUGUUCGAGAGAAUUCUGGUUAAGGAACUAGGCAAAUUAGCCCCGUAACUUCGGGAGAAGGGGCGCCAAA
rnacentral:rRNA from 1 species